CUACACGACCGUACCGCAAACCGACACUGGUGCGCGAGAUGAGUAUUCUAAGGCGCUUGAGAGAACUCAGGAGAAGGAACUCGGCAAAUUGACACCGUAACUUCGGAAGAAGGUGUGCCUUUAGUAGGUGAAGGGAUUUACUCCUAGAGCCCAAUGAGGUUGCAAAAAAUCGGUGGCUGCGACUGUUUAUUAAAAACACAGCACUCUGCAAACACGAAAGUGGACGUAUAGGGUGUGACGCCUGCCCGGUGCUGGAAGAUUAAAUGAUGGGGUGCAAGCUCUUGAUUGAAGUCCCAGUAAACGGCGGCCGUAACCAUAACGGUCCUAAGGUAGCGAAAUUCCUUGCCGGGUAAGUUCCGACCUGCACGAAUGGCGUAACGAUAGCCACACUGUCUCCUCCUGAGACUCAGCGAAGUUGAAAUGUUUGUGAUGAUGCAAUCUCCCCGCGGAAAGACGGAAAGACCCCAUGAACCUUUACUGUAGCUUUGUAUUGGACUUUGAACAGAUCUGUGUAGGAUAGGUGGGAGGCUUUGAAGUAGGGUCGCUAGAUCUUAUGGAGCCAACGUUGAAAUACCACCCUGGUGUGUUUGAGGUUCUAACCUAGGUCCAUUAUCUGGAUCGGGGACAGUGCAUGGUAGGCAGUUUGACUGGGGCGGUCUCCUCCCAAAGCGUAACGGAGGAGUUCGAAGGUACGCUAGUUACGGUCGGACAUCGUGACGAUAGUGCAAUGGCAUAAGCGUGCUUAACUGCGAGACUGACAAGUCGAGCAGAUGCGAAAGCAGGACAUAGUGAUCCGGUGGUUCUGUAUGGAAGGGCCAUCGCUCAACGGAUAAAAGGUACUCUGGGGAUAACAGGCUGAUACCGCCCAAGAGUUCAUAUCGACGGCGGUGUUUGGCACCUCGAUGUCGGCUCAUCUCAUCCUGGGGCUGUAGCCGGUCCCAAGGGUAUGGCUGUUCGCCAUUUAAAGAGGUACGUGAGCUGGGUUUAAAACGUCGUGAGACAGUUUGGUCCCUAUCUUCCGUGGGCGCUGCAGAUUUGAGGAAGCCUGCUCCUAGUACGAGAGGACCGGAGUGGACACACCUCUGGUGUAUCGGUUGUCACGCCAGUGGCAUUGCCGAGUAGCUAAGUGUGGAAGAGAUAACCGCUGAAAGCAUCUAAGCGGGAAACUCGUUUCAAGAUGAGAUCUGCCGGGGCCUUGAGCCCCCUAAAGAGUCGUUCAAGACCAGGACGUUGAUAGGUCGGGUGUGGAAGCGCAGUAAUGCGUUAAGCUAACCGAUACUAAUUGCUCGUGCGGCUUGACCCC
rnacentral:rRNA from 1 species